CCUACGGGUGGCAGCAGUAGGGAAUAUUGGUCAAUGGGCGAGAGCCUGAACCAGCCAUGCCGCGUGCAGGAAGAAGGCCUCUGGGUUGUAAACUGCUUUUGACUAGCAAGUGGAUCUAGUAGAAUAAGCACCGGCUAACUCCGUGCCAGCAGCCGCGGUAAUACGGAGGGUGCAAGCGUUGUCCGGAUUUAUUGGGUUUAAAGGGUGCGUAGGUGGCCUUUUAAGUCAGUGGUGAAAGCCUGCAGCUUAACUGUAGGACUGCCAUUGAUACUGAGAGGCUUGAGUACUGAUGAGGUAGGCGGAAUUGAUAGUGUAGCGGUGAAAUGCAUAGAUAUUAUCAAGAACACCGAUUGCGAAGGCAGCUUACUAGAGUUACUGACACUGAGGCACGAAAGCGUGGGGAUCAAACAGGAUUAGAUACCCUUGUAGUC
rnacentral:rRNA from 1 species